CUACGGGCGGCUGCAGUGAGGAAUAUUGCACAAUGGGGGGAACCCUGAUGCAGCAACGCCGCGUGGAGGAUGACGCAUUUCGGUGUGUAAACUCCUUUUAUAUGUCAAGAAAAUGACGGUAGCAUAUGAAUAAGCACCGGCUAACUCCGUGCCAGCAGCCGCGUGUAAUACGGAGGGUGCAAGCGUUACUCGGAAUCACUGGGCGUAAAGGACGCGUAGGCGGGUUGGAAAGUCAGGUGUGAAAUCCUACAGCUUAACUGUAGAACUGCACUUGAAACUUCUAAUCUAGAGUAUGGGAGGGGGAGAUGGAAUUAGUGGUGUAGGGGUAAAAUCCGUAGAUAUCACUAGGAAUACCUAAAGCGAAGGCGAUCUCCUGGAACAUUACUGACGCUAAGGCGUGAAAGCGUGGGGAGCAAACAGGAUUAGAUACCCCCGUAGUC
rnacentral:rRNA from 1 species